UUGAAAAACUUAUAGUCCCUGACGAGGUUCUACCACGUGGAAACACUCUUUAAUGGAACUUUCAUUUUAGCUGGCCGUGACCAAGAAACCAUCGGCUUUGCUUGGUGGCUUGGGAAUGCAAGACUUAUCAAUUUGUUUUGUAAACUACUUGGAGCUCAUGUAGCCCAUGCCGGAUUAAUCGUAUUCUGGGCCGAAGCAAUGAACCUAUUUGAAGUGGCCCAUUUCAUACCAGAAAAGCCCAUGAUGAACACGGGUUGA
rnacentral:rRNA from 1 species